rnacentral:rRNA from 1 species
GAUGAACGCUGGCGGCGUGCCUAAUACAUGCAAGUCGAGCGAACAGACGAGGAGCUUGCUCCUCUGACGUUAGCGGCGGACGGGUGAGUAACACGUGGAUAACCUACCUAUAAGACUGGGAUAACUUCGGGAAACCGGAGCUAAUACCGGAUAAUAUAUUGAACCGCAUGGUUCAAUAGUGAAAGACGGUUUUGCUGUCACUUAUAGAUGGAUCCGCGCCGCAUUAGCUAGUUGGUAAGGUAACGGCUUACCAAGGCGACGAUGCGUAGCCGAACUGAGAGAGUGAUAGGCGACACUAGAGAUGAGACACGGUCCAGAGUCCUGAGGGAGGGAGCAGAAGGGAAUCUUCCGCAAUAGGCGAAAACAUGGCACAGCGACGCGGAGUGAGUGAUGAAGGUCUUCGGAUCGUAAAACUCUGUUAUUAGGGAAGAACAAAUGUGUAAGUAACUAUGCACGUCUUGACGGUACCUAAUCAGAAAGCAACGGCUAACUACGUG